rnacentral:misc_RNA from 1 species
AACGCACAUUGCGCCCCUUGGUAUUCCGGGGGGCAUGCCUGUUCGAGCGUUAUUACAACCCUUAAGCUCUGCUUGGUCUUAGGCGUCACCGGUCCCCGGUGUGCCUUAAAAUCAGUAGCGGCGCCGCCUAGCUCUACGCGUAGUAACAUACUCUCGCGAUAGACGCCUGGCGGAUGCUAGCUAGCAACCUCUAUUUCUCAAGGUUAACCUCGGAUCAGGUAGGGAUACCUGCUGAACUUAA